rnacentral:rRNA from 1 species
AGCGAACGCUGGCGGCAGGCUUAACACAUGCAAGUCGAACGCCCCGCAAGGGGAGUGGCAGACGGGUGAGUAACACGUGGGAACGUACCCUUUGGUUCGGAAUAACUUGGGGAAACUCAAGCUAAUACCGGAUAAGCCCUUAUGGGGAAAGGUUUACUGCCGAAGGAGCGGCCCGCGUCUGAUUAGCUAGUUGGUGAGGUAAUGGCGCACCAAGGCGACGAUCAGUAGAUGGGCUGAGAGGAUGAUCAGCCACACUGGAACUGAGACACGGCCCAUACUCCUACGGGAGGCAGCAGUGGGGAAUAUUGUACAAUGGGGGCAACCCUGAUCCAGCCAUGACGCGUGAGUGAUGAAGGCCUGAGGGUUGUAAAGCUCUGUUACCCGGGACGAUAAUGACUGUACCGGGAGAAUAAGCCCCGGCCAACUUCGUGCCAGCCGCCGCAGUAA